GACGAACGCUGGCGGCGUGCUUAACACAUGCAAGUCGAACGAAGUGGCGAACGGGUGAGUAACGCGUAAUAAACCUGCCCUUCAGAGGGGGACAACAGUUGGAAACGACUGCUACUACCGCAUACUGAAGGAGGGGAGUGCGUCGGAUUAGCUAGUUGGAGGGGUACCGGCCCACCAAGGCGAUGAUCAGUAGCCGGUCUGGUAGGAUGAACGGCCACAUUGGGACUGGUACACUGCCCAGACGCCUACGGGAGGCAGCAGUGGGGAAUCUUCCGCAAUGGACGAAAGUCUGACGAAGCAACGCCGCGUGAGUGAUGACGGCCUUCGGGUUGUAAAGCUCUGUUAAUCGGGACGCGGUACCGGAAUAGAAAGCCACGGCUAACUACGUGCCAGCAGCCGCGGUAAUUC
rnacentral:rRNA from 1 species